GCUCAGGUGACCGAGUGGUUAGAGCGUCCGCCUCGGAUGCGGGAGGUCGUGGGUUCGAUCCCGGGUCGAGUCA